rnacentral:rRNA from 1 species
AUACGGAAGGUCCGGGCGUUAUCCGGAUUUAUUGGGUUUAAAGGGAGCGCAGGCGGAGAUGCAAGCGUGACGUCAAAUUUCGGGGCUCAACCCCGUCUCGCGUCGCGAACUGCGUCCCUUGGUUGCGGGAAGGGGAGGCGGAACUCGUGGUGUAGCGGUGAAAUGCAUAGAUAUCACGAAGAACUCCGAUCGCGAAGGCAGCCUUCCGGCCCGUCAACGACGCUCAUGCUCGAAGGUUCGGGUAUCAAACAGGAUUAGAUACCCUGGUAGUCCGCACAGUAAACGAUGGACACCCGCGGUUUGGCCUAUAUGGCUGAGCCGCCAAGCGAAAGCGUUAAGUGUCCCACCUGGGGAGUACGCCGGCAACGGUGAAACUCAAAUGAAUUGACGGGG